rnacentral:rRNA from 1 species
GACAUAGGUCGCGAACGUUAUCCGGAAUUAUUGGGCGUAAAGGGUGCGUUAGGAUGGUGUGAUAAGUUAUUGGUGGUAAACCGAGGCUCAACCUCGUGGAAGCUGAUAAUACUGCCACACUAGAGUGUAGGAGAGGUUAACGGAACUCCAUGUGGAGCGGUAAAAUGACGUAGAUAUAUGGAAGAACAUCAAUAACGGCGAAGGCAGUUAACUAUUCUACUACUGACAUUGAGGCACGAAAGCGUGGGGAGCAAAACAGG